CUUUGUCCUCCAAUUUGAAUCUUUUCUCAAAAAACUUCUGCGAUCAACUCUUCAAGACUCCAAACAACUUUACGAAAUUCGCCAACCUAUAAAAUCCUUAACAAUCUCCCCCUUUGGCGAUUUCGUGACAAAAUAUACUACAAAGCUCGUAUACAACCAAUAAGUCAUAAAAAGAAGAUCAUCGCAAUCACCAAACGAUAAUCUCCUGCAUGAUCAAUCCAAUAAACAAAAUUUACACUUUUACAACCUUAAAACAAACUCUAUGACUUAGACAUGGAGUCUUGAAGUCUUGAAUUAUUCCUGCAAAAACAUUCUCAAAACAUAAUCAAGAUUCAAGUAUCAAUAAGUAUCAAGAAGAUCAAACAAUCAACUAAAGUUCACACUUCAUAGUUCAUAGUUAAACUAAACAAAAACACUAAGUCAAACACCUAAAGCAUUAAAACAAAGUCAUCUUAACUAAGCAAAGCCCUAAAAGCAUUAAAACAAAGUCAUCUUAACUAAGCAAAGCCCUAAGCUAAAUGCAUCAGCAUCAUCAUUAAGACCCCAUCACCUCCCCCUUUUUGUCAGAAAGCGCCAAAACGACAAAAGGAGAAGCUCGGUAAAUCCUAGUCAGAAUUAUCUCCUGGAGGUAAAUCCGCCCGACAACAUCCUAAUUUGUCAAAAAUCAUAUUCAACAAGCGCUUCAUCUUGCUCACAUCCUUACGAAUUGCAGCUUGUUCUGCAGACAACUUCUGAAGCUCCUCAGAUAGACGUUGCUGCUCGCGAUACACCGAUGAAACGGAAAUAUCNNNNNNNNNNNNNNNNNNNNNNNNNNNNNNNNNNNNNNNNNNNNNNNNNNNNNNNNNNNNNNNNNNNNNNNNNNNNNNNNNNNNNNNNNNNNNNNNNNNNGACAGAGCCUAAGUUUAAUCAACAAUUGAGAAAAUAAAAUGUUGUUUAAUUUGUGAGACGUUAUGAGUACUUUUAAUAAUGAUGAGGCCUUUUAAAUAUUACAAACCACGUUCUCUAUUCCAUGAGCUAAAGUUUAACCUUAAAAUCAUAAUCUAGAUAUAUAUAAUAAAUGAUAAGAUACAUAAAUCACACACACGCACCAGGUGCAAGUAACAAAUUCUAAAAACAAAGCAACAAUGCAAAAGGCCUAUAUAUAUAUAUAUAUAUAUAUAUAUAUAUAUAUAUAUAUCAUGCAGCUGUGUUGUCACUUCUGAGACGUAUAUAUUAGUGAUGAUGGAGGAGAGAGAGAGAGAGAGAGAGAGAGAGAGAGAGAGAGAGAGAGGGAGGAAGAAGCUGCAUGCUGAGUCUGUGUGAGAACACGGGAUAUGUUGGUUUUGCAGGGAUUCUCUGCGGAGUGGAAUGAUUACACCCUACACCAAGCUAGGGCUUAGCCUGAGACACCCUACCUAGGGCACAAAAAUCUCAAAAAGAGAUAAAAAAAAAUGGUGAUUAAUUAACAAAGCCAGGGCUUCAGGUUUUGUGCAAAUUCAGAAACUUCAAAUUAGCUGGUCUUUAAUAAAGCGUGUGAAUGUGGAAUAAUAACUUACAAAAUGGGGGUAUAAAUUAUAAAAUGGGGAUAACUUAUAAAAUAUUCGGCUAUGAUAUACCUUCUAGUUUAUUUUCUAUUUAAAUAUCGAUGGAUUUAUAGUAAAGUAUAGGAGAGGGCCUUUCUUAAUAGAUAUAUGUAUAUGAAUGGGAGUUGAGCUAGAAUACUCUCAAAAGCAUCAUGAAUGUGAUAUUUUUGAGUUUUUAGUCAUUGGAUGGAGAAAUGUAAGGUUGAGAUGACGGUGGUAGGUGGUGAUAGGUGGAAUAGUAUUUGAUCCAAAGACUAUUAGUAAUCAAGGAGUAGAUCCAAGGGUUAAAAACCUAAAAGCACUAAGAGCUUGGUGUUUCUAAAAGUAUUCUAGCUCAAUUCUAUAAAUCGUAAGUUUACUUGGAAUACUAAUAAUAGUAAAUAAAUAGUAUUUAUUAUCAAUUUUUUAAUUCUUGAAUCAAUAUCAAUCCAUCUACAUCCGCUAAAUCAAAGCAUCAUAUAUAGGACUAAAAAAUUUAUUUCAAAUCCUAUUUCUUUGCUAUUAAUAGUAUUCCGACUUUAUUCUAUGAACUAUAAGCAAUAAUAAUUAUUAGAUUUGAAUGUCUGUGGUGGGUAGCGGAGGGCUCAGGCAUGGUAUGGAUCGGAUCCGAAACUCGUUAAGAGUUUUCCUUUUUAUUUUUUUUUGCCCUAAAGGUGUGAGAUCGUGGUUGGUUGUACUAUUUGAACAUUGUAUUUCCUUUUUCGUUCGAUAGUGAGGUUCUCUCCUCCUUCGCCCGUGGUUUUUUCCUGCAAAAGAUUUUUCACGUAAAUCUGUGUGUUUUCUUUUGUUUCUGCUUGUGAUUUGUUUAUUUUGUAUUCGUCAUUUUGUUUUUGUUUGUGCGUUUGUCGUAACAGGGAUAGCAGAAUGCUACUCUCUCGAAAAAAAAAAAUCUAAAAUGUGACAGCCACAUGAAGUGAUACACCCACUAGCAACAGAGCACAUGAAGCAGUUAUACAUCUUUUUGCCUGUUGUGAUUUUUUCAUGCUCACUUGAGCCGAAUGCGGAAAACUCUCUAGAUACAUCCACUGACCUUCAAUUACUAUAGGCAGAUCGAUGUGUUUUUCUUUUCACCUGGAUUCCAAUAAGGAAAAAAGCACCGGUCAAGUUGCGAUGUAAAAUUGAUUCGAUGUUUGCUAUCAUUUUCUAAAACUUAUGAAAAGAGUGCAAUAAUAAAAUUUUCAAUAGGUUGUAUAAAUCAUCCAAAGAACUAAUUUGAGUAUCACAUAAUAAUGCACUAAUGUGGUUCAAAUUUUUGUAACUACGGAUUCAAUUAGAGGAUUCAAUCAUUGCGUGCUGCAUGUCUACUCAUCCUACACUUAUUUUUUAUAUAACUUCUAUUAUAUUCAAUGACAGGUAAUUAACACCCUGUACAAUCCUUUCAAAAAAGAAAAAGUCACAUGAAGUAAUGUGGUAGUGUUUUCAAUCAAUUAAAUUAUUAUACAUUAAUUUAUCCAUCUCAUUAUAAUUAAAAAAAUAUUUUUAUUAUAUUUUUUAGAAAAUAAUUAUUGACUGAAUAUAAGUAAUGUGAUAUACCUCCCCCCCCCCUCUCUCUCUCUCUCUCUCUCUCUCUCUCCUCUCUCUCUCUCCGGGCGUGAACUGAGCAAAAGAUAUGGUAGUGAAGAAGGUUACGUACGUUGGGUCUGAAAACGAGUCAUGACUCAUGACUCGUGAGGAAUCGAGUAGUCUCUUAAUAAUAAUAAUAAUAAUAAUAUUAUUAUUAUUAUUUCUGUUGCAUGCAUGUGUUCGUACAUACGUACGUGCUUUAUUUGUAAACUCGCGCGUAUGCAUGCAGAUGCAUGGACGUGUUACGUACGUAGGGUAAUAGUAAGUGCUGAAUAUAAAUAAUAAUAUAUGUGUGUCUUUAGUAACUUAAAGCUUUUUUUAAAAAAAUUAUUAUUUUUAUAUAAUUUAAUAUGGUAUGAAAUCAGUAGAUUGUUAGUUAAUUUUUUCUCAUUUAAUUUAAAUUUAUGUUUAAUGUUAAAUUAAUUAUGUAACAAGUUACGAUAGCUAGAGUACUAUUUCUAGAGAUAAAUAAAAUUGGUUAUGGUGAUAGUAUAUCCGAACUGACGAUCGACUCUAUUAUUAAUUAAUUAAGUAUGAUCUAAACUACUUAAUUUUUUUAGAAUUAAAUCAAAUUCUAUAAUUUUACAAUAUAUUUGUUUAGUGAUCAAGCGUGUCAAAUUCAUCUAUAUUUGCUAAUUAUAAAACUUAUAAAACUUUGAACAACAAAGAGACUAAGCAAAUAAUACCCAAAAAUUAUGAAAUUUAAAGCAUAAAAAAUUCAAAUACUCUAGACUAUAUUUAAUAGUGUCUAUUAUUUUUAACUGUAUAUGUACCGUUUAUUUAAAUUUGAGUGACAUAGACAUGGGAUAAUAUAUCUAUAUAUAUCCAUUUUCUUUAACAAAAAAAAGAAAUUUAGGCUACAACUAGGAUCAGGAGCAUGAAAUUAAUAUAUCUAAACUAGGUUUGAUCAUGUCACAAAUCUACAUGUGGAGUGAUCACUAAAUGGCUUGAUCCUAGCUAAAACACAUAGAUUAGGUCGACCCAUAGGCUCAUAACCCUUUUGGGGCCACUCCCAUGAUUCAUGAACAAAUUAACCAGUACAAUUUUAUUGUUCAUUGAAGGAAAAAAAGAAAAGAAAAGAAAAAGAAAAUCAAAAGAAAAGGAAAAAGUACUUUGUGUAGGGGUCUAGAGUACUACAGUACUACUACCCCACCAAAAGAAGUGCACAUGUAGUCAAGAGAGACACAUUUGAAAGAACAUAUAAAUGCUAAGCUUUUGGGUUGGUUUCUCCACUCUCUCUCUAGGAUUUAAACACAAAGCUCCCUUCAUCAUGGCCUAUUUAUUAACAGUUACACCACUGUUUCCCAAGAAGUAUAAGUCAAACAUAAAGAGAGCCCACCCUUUUACCUAUCUUUUUUUUACCCCCCCCCUACUUGGCUCAACUCAAUCCUUGGUUUCUUUUAAUUCCACCUCUUUAUCUCUCCUCUUUAGUUAUUUUAGUUGCGUGAGUUGGGAGGUAAAAGAUGUGAUCUUUCCUUUGAUGCAGUGUUAAUUAAUUAACACAAGUCACCACAGCUGCUGCACAAAAGAAUACUGCAGUGACUUCAAGAUUGCAGGAGAAGCUAUUCAUUGCCUGGAACAGAGCCACAGUGGGCCAGUUUAGUUGAUUUGGAAAGGUAAAAAUGUACAGAACUUACCUUAACUACUAUAUACGAAUUAUUUUGAUUUAUUUAUCCAAUAUUUUAAAAUUUUGAUUUUACUAUAUAAUCUUUCAACUUGUUUGAAUCGAGUCUGCCAGUGUCGACAUUUUGACUUUAAAAUUUGAAUGCGUCAAUUCUCGUAGCUAUAUAUAAAUUCAUUAAAGUAAGUAAUAAGCUAACUUAAAUUUUAAAAUCAAAUUACCGCUGAUCGACUCAAAUUAAACAAAUUGAAAGUUUGGAUAGUAAAUUCAAAGAUUGAAAGAUUUGAUAGUCAAGUCAAAAUGGCCCGUAGUUCAAAUAAAUUGCCUACAUUUUUACCUUUCUAAAACUCGAUUAAUUCAAUUUUUUUAAAAAUAAUAUAUAUUUAAGGCAUUCAAUAUGAUCUAAAAUUUUAGUACCAUUGAUUUAAAAAUUGCAUGAUGCCCUCUUAAUUAAGUGUAUAUAUAUAUAAGUAACAUGAUUUCGAAACUAAGAGCUUGUGUGGCUCCAUUUUUGCUUUUUGUUUUCAAUCAAAUUGUCUGCAAUAUAAUACAUUAUUUGAAGAUCAAACAAAUUAAUUCGGAACUUCUGCUUAGCAUGUAGAAGAAUUAUGAUUGUCAAUGUUGGUUGUUCUAAUUUGGAGUUUUAAUUGGAUUUUUCUACCCAAUAAAAAAUAAUCAGCAUAGUAUUUUUCAUAAGAGAAUGUUACUUGUACACCCAAAAAGGUUUAAAGGUCGACGUGACAAGAUUAGUGUGAAAAAAUUAACCCUUAGAUAAUUAGGAGUAACAUGUUCACUAAAUUUUUAGCUAAGUAGAAUCAUUUUUUUCUUAAUUAUAUAUGGUACCUCUGAAACAAACACUUUAUUAAAUAGUACAAAAGUUUACAGCAAAAUCGAACACAAUCUUAUAAUUACCAAUGACCAUAUUUACUGUGUUAUAUUUAAGUUUGAAGAGCAUAAUUAAGGUUGAAAAUUAUGGAGGAUACACAUUUUUUUGGUUCUUUGGCUGAUGUGGUGGACCAGGACCAGCCAAUAACUCCUCCUCCAAAGACACACUCACCAUCCAUUUUCCUGCUAUAAUAUUUCUCCUCCUCUUAGCUCCUUGAUGUUGCUUCUGUCUCUCUAUUGCAUGCUGGGGUAGUGGCCACUGAUGUGUUUAGUAUUUCCCAAUAGCAGGGGUGAGACACAGAAAUGGGAGUGUCAGUCUCUUCCUUUUAUCUCAUGGCAUUUACUCCUCACUGUGCCCUUCUCUCCCUUUCCUAUAUAUAUGGCCCCUGCUUCACCUCUUCCACAUGCACCACCAUACUCCUCUUGAUGUAUAAUUCCUUAAGCAUCCCCUUUAUGUUACUUACAAUUAGAGCUGUGUUUAACAUGCCCAAGCUUAGUAACAUGGCUUCUUCCACUAGCAUUUCUAAAAGCAGCAGCUUGAGAUGCAGUGCUGCUGCUGCUGCUGCUGCUGCUGCUUUACAAUCACUUCUUCUUGAGUUUGGGUGGUUCAAGAAGAGAAGAAUGAAAAAACAUGUACUACUUUUCUCGCUACGGUGAUUGAUGAUGGCGCUAUCCUUGCUGAGCUACUUCUUUCUCUCUGUUGCUCCUCUAAACUUUUUUUUUUUUUUAUUGCAAGGUAUAAGAUUAUUUUCUUGACCUUGCAAGACUUUUUCUGACGGAGGCUACGCUCAUGGCCGCUCUCUACUCCGUUCGGAUUUGUGAGCGUUAGCUUCACUCUUGUCAAUCCUCCCAUAUUUCUUCCUUCUGUCUAUCCCUCUUGAGCUUGUAUUUCUUUUAUCAAUCAAGUAUAAUUUCUGUAUUUUUAUUUGAAUUUUGUAACUGUUGGCAUCUGGAUUAAACUGAAGGAUCUUAUUGCUAUGUACUUUCUUCUUCUUUUUUUUUUUAAUUUCGUGUGAAAUGAUUAUCAUUAUAUUUAAUUUAUACAUCAUUUUCUGCUGUAUGGUUAAUUGGUUUCAUAUUUGAUGGCUAAAAAUUAAUCUCACAGUGUGCAUGUUGUCAUCUGUUGUUUACUGGUUUAAUUUUUUUGAAACUUUGGCUUCUCUCAGUUGCACACAUGAUAUGUGCAUACACCUCUCCCUAUUGAAGGAAGGAAAUUAACAAGACCAAAUGGUCUAAUUAAUUAUCUCCUAAUUGUAAGAAAGAUAAUUAAAGCAGUAUAUAUAUAUAGAUAUGCAGCACUGAUAAACUCAAAAGAUUAUGAUUCUGAAAAUUGAUUUUAAUUAUAAUUUGUAUAAAAACUCUAGCUAGGGAAGUAUUUGAAAUGAUUCAUAUAUAUAUAUAGCUAAAAGGGUCCCAUGUAUAUAUAUUCCUAGCUAUAUAUAUAAAUCUUGAUGUUGCAAUGGUAUAUAUUAUUCUCCAUGCAUGUGAACCCUCACAUGUGAAGUUAUGAUAAAUCCUAUAGAACAACAGGAGAGCAGCUGCAGUGGAGCUCAGCAUGAUCCUGUCAAAGGAACUAGUGAGAAGUGAGAACUUAUUCAAGUUUUAAUUAAGAAAAAAAAAAAAAAGAACUUGUUCAAGUUGGGGCCCCAAGUGUGUUAUUCUCUAUCACAGCAUAAUAAUCCCAUAGUAAUUUUCUUUUUCUUUGAAAAAACUGUACUCCUAUAUAUGUUUACAAUUAAAAGAAAAUUUAUCUAUUAAGUGUUCUAAAUACAUGAUAAUUAUUUAUCAUCUGUUAAUGGAGGCAGCUGAAACAGGUUGGAUUUGGGUUUGAGAUUUCGCUAUUUGGCACUAUUCGACUCGGAUUCAAAUUCAAAUAUUGGUUUGGAAAAUUUUUAAAAUACAAAUUGGGAUAUCAAUCGAUCUUAAACUAUUUUUAUAUAAAUUAUACGUAGAGUAUUUAACCACUAAUUAACUUUAAGUUUGCUAUUGUUAAUUCUUCAAGAUAUCUCAAUUAGUUUUAUUGGUUGUUAAUUUGAUCCUACAAGUUUUAAUAUAUCUAUUGAUAUAUAUGCAAAUUUACAACUUUUGUUUUUUUCUUUAUUUUAUAUGUUGCUUUUGAUUCUUUAAUGUAUUCCUUAAUAGAUCAUCCAACUUGUAAAUGUAUCCUUCAGCGUUUCUCCAUCUAUUUUCAUAUCAUUUUUACAUAAAUCCUACGCACAACUGCUUCAUGAAACUUUUCAAAAAUAGUUAAAUAGAAAACUCUAGUAUAUAAAAAUACUUACUCAAUCACUCACCUCGGAUGCAAUAAUCCUGACCUAAUUUGAAUGGAUAGAAGAUAAAAAUGGUCGGAAAUAAAAUUUCAUUAAAACAGCCCCCCUCCCAAAAAAAAAAAAAAGGAUGAAGAUGAUUCAAUUCGGAUACAAAAAUGAUGUAAUUUGGGCUCGAAAACGACAUCGAAUAAAGUAAUAAUUUGGAUCCAAUUUUUCUAUAUAUCUAAUACCAGAUCAUCUAUAUUAUUAUACAGGUUAAGUGUUAAAGAUAUGCCUUUUUUUUAUUGAUUUGUUCCAUACACCGGGUCUAUGGAAUAAUAGACAGGAUCUCAUAAGAAUUUUUUAUUGGUGGAUCCUAAUUUAAGUUGAAAUCCUAGGUGGACUAGGAUAAGUUUCCGUAUAAGACUCUUGUAUUCGAUGAUCAUAUUGAAUUAGAGUAGAAUUGAGCUAAUGCGUAUAUCUAUAUAGGUGCAUGUACGAGGACCGUACGGUGUAAGAGAGUGGAGGCCAAAAUUAAUUAGCAAUAUAAUUAAAGUGGCCGGUUCUUUUUUAUUGAUUUGGUCCAUCCAUACGAUUGGAGAAGGUGUCGCGGCCUUGCAUGGGACGGAUUGAAGUCGGCGGCGGAGCGGCUGCUUUCGACCAAAUUGUCGGAGCGGUUCGGAUUCUUCGAAGCAACGGCAUAAAGGAUUUUGGUUAAAGUUUUUAUACUUCUCUAAUUUAGUUUUCUCGAUUUUACGAAAAGUUUUUUCGGUAUUUUUUUGGAGUUUUCGUUGGAACAAGAGAAAGGUGGGAUUGACCAUAAGGCUCUUGAUUUUUUUAUCCGGAGAAGACAUAAGGUGUAAUCUCGUACUUCUAUUUCUUCAUAUAGUGGAAUACAUCUCUCUCGCUCUUUCCGUGGACGUAGGCAAUUGUCGAACCACGUAAAUCUUGGUACUAAAUAACUAUGGCAAAAACUUUACAUGUUGCAAGUACUCUAAUAAGGUACUACAAUAAGAUCACUGUUUUGGUACAUAAUGAAUACUAUACAUGAUUGUGAUGUUCAUAUGUUAGAGUAUUUGUACCUGCGUAUGUUUGUGAUGUUAAUAGCUUGACUGAGGAGUACUUGCUGCAUUUUGCAUAGAAUGAUACUAUGGUUGGGCAUGUUGACUAGUCCAAGAGAGUACGUUCAUACUCCAGCCGAAACCAAGACUUGAGAUCGAACCUGACCAGAUCGUUUCCUCUCCGGUCUGUGCCUAAGUCCGAGUCAGAUCAGAUCAGAUCAGGCCUACAGAUAGUGGGACAAAAACGGCAGACCCAUCGGAGUGUGACUCGUGUGUGCGUUGUAUUUUCUUUGCCAACAGGGCUUGGUAGUUGGUACCCGAGACUCAAGUUCGAAUCCUAGUUGAUUCACAUUUCCAGCUAAGUUUAUUUCUAAAUGAAAUAAACAAAGCGGAUAGCAUGCUAUAUUUCUCACAAAAAAAAAAUGAUUCAAAUUAGUUCACUUAAAUGUUAGAAAUUUUGUAUAAAAUUAGUGACUAGUUUGAUGUUAGAGUUUUUGAAAAAAUGUGACUCAACCAAUUAAGUUAAGUUGAAAUUUUCGUUGAGUUCAGAUAAUUUUUGUAAUCGGUAUAAGCAAUUUUUAAACGGCCCCAUAUCUUUUCGUUCGAGUAUUCAAUUUUAGCAUACAACCUGAAUUUCGAAAAUAUUUUUUGAUAUCUACGCAUUGAAUGCAAAGCCAUUCCGAUUGAAAUUGGGACCCAAAUUCAAUUAUUUCGGCCCCCGGUUUUGCAUUUUUAUGUUACUUUUAAAAAUUUCUAUAUAUUUUUUUUAUUUUUAGUCCGAUUAUUUGAUUAUUUCUUAUCUGAUUAGGUUUAGAGAUAUAUUAAAAUUUAUUAUCUUUAUCUAGUAGGAGUCGGGUACCGUCUAUAUAAAUGGGGCGAGAGAUCCACCAAUCUGAAUCCAUUUGCAUCCCUAUAAAUUACUGAAAAAGUUGGGGAUAUCAUUUUAGGCGACAAAUAUUUUUGGGCCUAUUUGGAUUUUUUCCCAACUUGAGUCGGGUUGGCCCAAAACCCGAAACAAGUAAGUAGGUUUUGUCUACAUGUAGGCCUAUAUGUACACUUGCAUGCAAAAGAAUAAGAUACAAAAUGGGAUAGUGCUUAAUUUAUAUCCAUAUUUCUAUUUUCAAAUCGGAUCAAAAUACAAAUUCAGAUAUUGAUUAAAAACUAAGUUUAAAAUUGAUAUAUUUUAAAAACGGAUUCGGAUACAGGUCGGACAUUAAACAAAUACAAUCACGAAUCGGAUAUUUAAUGAAUAUGUUGAAUCAAAAGCUAAAAGAUUUAUUUACGAGUAUAUAUAUCUAAGCUUUCUAAAAUUUAUAUAAAAUUAGGAAAUAUUACAAAAAUGAGAAUUCUAUAAGAAAAUAAUAUUGAGUAGGGACUUAGAGAAAUGCUACAUAUUUAAAAUAUAUUAAAAUCAGUUUUGAAUUCAGAUAAUCUAAAUUGGAAGAAGAAUAGUCAACCUGAAUUUGAAUUCGAUCGAAAUAUUGUCGAACUCGAGAUUCGAAUCCGAAUUCUAGUUGGAUAGUGAAAUUUAAAUUCAAAUCGGAUAAUUGUCGGAUUUGGAAGUGGAUCGAAAAUUAGGAAUUUGAUUUUUGAUUCUGAAAGCUUUUGGCAUUUAUAAUUUGGUAUGAUCAAAUUUUCCACAUGCUAGAUAAUUUACCUUAUUCUAAAAACUAUGACUUAAAUGCCGAAUGUAUACUUAUUGUAAAUAUUUGAUCACACACCUUAUUUCAUUAUAGGUUUUUUAAGUAAAUUGAAGAGAUGCGUCAAAUAAAAUAUUCGUACAUUCAAAUAAAACCGACGUCAAACUAAGAUAUUGAAUGAUAACGUCUUAUGUACAAAAUUUUUCUGAUAUAUAAUUGAAAGUUAUAAGAUUAAUUUAUGCUACAAAAGGAUCUUGGUAUUUAUUAUUUAGUAAAAUAGUAUAUUUCACCUGCAAUGUGAGAUUUUUUUUAUUUCGAAAAAUUGAUUUGAAGGUCGAAUAUAGUAUCAAUUUUAGAUAUUUGAUCAUAAUCUUAUCUACUAAAUACUACAUGCUUACUGAGUAAAAAUCGAAAUGAUACACUGUAUAUGAUGUUCAUGGAUCCGAAUAGGAUUGAAAUAAGCUCAGCCCCGUAUCCAUUUAGUUAUUUUGGGCCCGGGUCGGUCUUGGAUUGGGCCGUUUCCAACCCGAUCCGAUUCCACCCGGUAAAGUUGCGCUACGUAACUGUGAAACCCUAAUUCCAGCACACGUGCUAAUCACGUGAUCUCCGCUUCGAGUAUAAACCUCUGUAGCCGCUUUACCCUCGACCCUUGUCUCGCUCGUUCCCUCUCUCUCUCUCUCUCUCCAAAUCUAGCGAACGAAACCCUAGAAGCCGAAGAAGAGGAAGGUGCGAUCUCGAUCUCGAAACCCUAACCUUUUCGAUUCCGCUUAUUCGAUUUGAAAUGAUUGGGAUAAAUUGGAAUCAUUUGCGCUCGAUUUGAUUUGUUUCGCUUUCGAUUAGCUAGGGUUUUGUUUGCAUCCGUAGAGUUCUCAAAAUAUGACCUGAAAAUAGUACUCGUUAUGCGAUAUGAUGCAAAUUAGGGUUUCCUCUUAGAGAACGGUGUUAUUUUUACGCUUAGAUUGGUGCUUUUUCUUGAUCCAGUUGUGUCUAUGAGUCUGUAUAUAUACGUAUAUCUCUAAUUUAUGCUCUAUUUCGGAUUUUUAGAUCUUUGUUGCUGCUAGUAGAAUCAAGGCGACAAGAACCAUGGCUUCUCGUUUCUGGUUGCAGGUGCGUUCGACUUCAAACCCUAAUCCUAGUGUUAUGUUAAUUGAGAAAAAUGUUGCUCAUGGACCUGGUCUACCCUGCCAUCUUUGGGCUGGGCCAGUUCGAACGAGGCAUGAUGCCCUGUAGGGGAUCGAUUCGCUUAUCUGCUCUAAUUCUGCAAAAAAUAUAAUAUUUCUUACAAUUUUUUAGGGCGAUAGCGAUUCUGAGGAGGAGGAGGAGACCAGUGAGUAUGAGAACGGCAGUGACGAGGAGCGUGCACCGGCUGGAGAGGCGACACGGGAGACUGCCCUUAACCGCUACCUCGACCAUGGCGCGAACCUCAGCGAUGACUCUGAUGAGGGUCCUCGUGUGGUCAAGUCGGCCCGCGACAAGCGCUUUGACGAGAUGGCGGCCACCGUGGACCAGAUGCGCAAUGCCAUGAAGAUCAAUGACUGGGUCAGCCUCCAGGAGAGCUUUGAGAAGCUCAACAAGCAGCUUGAGAAGGUUGUUAGGGUUACGGAAUCGGAAAAGGUUCCUAAUCUUUAUAUUAAGGCUCUUGUGAUGCUCGAGGACUUCUUGGCCCAGGCUUUGGCCAAUAAGGAUGCUAAGAAGAAGAUGAGCAGCAGCAAUGCAAAAGCACUUAACUCGAUGAAGCAGAAGCUGAAGAAGAACAAUAAGCAGUAUGAGGAACUGAUUAUAAAGUACAGGGAGAAGCCAGAGAGUGAGGAUGAGGGAGAGGAAGCUGAGGAGGAGGAAGAGGAGGAUGAGUCGGAAUCGGAGGUCGAAGAAGAUCCAUCAAAGAUUGCAAUGUCUGAUGGGGAGGAUGAAGAUAAAGGUGAGGAGGAUAGCGAUGAAGAAACUGGCGGGGGGUGGGAGAAGAAAAUGAGCAAGAAGGAUAGGCUCAUGGACAAGCAGUUUAUGAAGGACCCAAGUGAGAUUACUUGGGAUAUUGUUGAUAAGAAGCUUAAGGAGAUUGUGGCGGCAAGGGGUAGGAAGGGGACAGGGAGGGUGGAGCAGGUUGAGCAGCUUACGUUCUUGACCCGGGUGGCAAAAACACCUGCCCAGAAGCUUGAGAUCCUCUUCAGUGUGAUCUCAGCUCAGUUUGAUGUGAAUCCUAGCUUGCUCGGGCACAUGCCAGUCAACGUGUGGAAGAAGUGUGUUGGCAACAUGCUCCUUGUGCUCGAUAUUCUUGAGCAGUACCCUAAUAUCGUGGUUGAUGACUCGGUUGAGCCUGAUGAGAACGAGACCCAGAAGGGCGCAGACUAUAAGGGAACUAUCCGAGUGUGGGGAAAUCUUGUUGCCUUUCUUGAGCGUCUUGAUGCUGAAUUCUUCAAGAGCUUGCAAUGCACUGAUCCACAUACCAGGGAAUAUGUUGAGAGGCUGAGGGAUGAGCCCUUGUUUAUGGUCAUAGCGCAAAAUGUUCAGGACUACCUCGAAAGAGUCGGGGAUUUCAGGGCAGCUUCCAAAGUUGCCUUGCGCCGUGUUGAGCUAAUUUAUUAUAAGCCUCAAGAAGUUUACGAUGCGAUGAGGAAGUUGGCAGAGCAGGGUACAGAUGGGAAUGAAGGUGGUGGGGAGGAUGGAGAUGAAGAGACUGAGCGUCAAGCAGCUGAGGAAAAUAGGGGCCCCCCACCAUUUGUUGUGGUUCCUGAGCUUGUGCCUAGGAGGCCUACAUUUCCAGAGAGUAGCAGGGCCUUGAUGGAUGCCUUGGUGUCACAAAUUUAUAGGUAUGGGGAUGAGAGGACCAAGGCCAGGGCGAUGCUUUGUGAUAUUUACCACCAUGCCAUCUCUGACGAAUUUCCUAUUGCUCGUGAUUUGCUUUUGAUGAGUCACCUGCAGGAUGGGAUUCAACUCAUGGACAUAUCCUCACAGAUACUAUUCAAUAGAGCAAUGGCACAACUUGGCUUGUGCGCUUUUAGGGCCGGUUUGAUUGUAGAAGCUCAUGGCUGCCUGUCUGACUUGUACACGACAGGAAAAGUGAAGGAAUUACUCGCCCAAGGUUUAACCCAAAAUCGUUACCAUGAUAAGACACCUGAGCAGGUAAGAAAUAUUUCUUUCGUUUCUGCAAUUUGAGAAUUGCAUGCUAUUUUAUAUCCUGCCUUAAUAUAUAAAGUGUGUGUUGCUUAUCUCUGAAGCAUGUCUGCUUAUCUUACUCUAAUUGCCACUUGAGUUUUAGCAGCCCUUGGAGUGUAGUUUUAAAUUACAUUACAAGUAAUAUUAGUGGGUAACUUUUUCAAUGUUGUGUUAGUAGUCUUCAAUUUCGUUAUAUUGUUUUCUUGCUGUAAUUCUUUUCUGCGAUCUUGCAAUAAUUAUGCAUACCAUUUUCUCCCAUCAGUCAGGGCAAUGAAAUGAUUUGUUGUCUACAUGACCUACUAGGAAAAACCAGUACACUAAGGAGAUGAUAAUAGGAAAUAUGAUCUGAAUUGUAAUGCAUUAAUUUAUGUCUGCUUUAAGAUUCCUUGGAAUGAUAUAUUAUGGCUUGUAGUAUCCUCGUUGAUGAUGGUCGCUAGCAUUGGUGAAUAAGUUGCAUCCUUCUUAAAAUCAAACACUUAUCAAAAGAAUUUUGGCUGUUAGUCUAAGAAUGUUUGAAGGGCUUGAAACUGAUAAUGGCAUUUUCAUCUUGCUAUUCCUUACCCUUCCCAAGGAUAUACAUGGGAAUCUGGAAAAACUGAACACACCUUUUCCCUGAUAAUUUGCUACAUUGAGAACUAAAUAUUCAUCUACGCGUCCUAGUAGAGAGAGGAUACAGGGAAUAGAAAUGUAUCAUUCCACUUCUCCCAUGUUUCUAAACCAGGCAAAUUGUUUUAAUAUUGAAUGGCCGAGCGUGAUUUGGUCCCAUAUUGUCUUGGUGUUCUUGAUUGAUAAAAAAUUAUUGGCAUGUUCCCAUUAUCAAUAUGUGGGUUCAUCAAUAUGUGGGUCCUUAUCUGAAAGCUCAACUAGUGGCUCAUUUUUCGUUUCUUGGAAUAAAUGUCGCUUAUUUAUAUGGAUGUCUUUAGUGUUAUCAGUUGGAAAUUUAAUGGAAGAUUGGGAAAGCUAAUCAGAUCCUUACACUCUAGGAUAUAGAAGGUAACUAACCAUAAGGCUGGUUCACUCCCACCGAGCUAAUGGGGAAUGUUGUAGUCAUGGAUACUGCCUUCUAAUCUUAUGAAAAUAUGACUCACUUAUAGGUGGGUGUGCCUGUAUGAGCCUUGAGAGUUAUCAAAGGAGCUCAAGGCAUCUGGCUAAUUGCUUGCUGCUGCAUUCAUUUGUUUUAUGACAUUCUCAUUCAUUCCGUAUUGCAUUACUCUAGAAUUUGCCAUAUGGCAUAAUAUAUACUAGUUCUCUGGGCCGACUUCUUAUAUUGGACCAACAUUUCCCCCUUCUCUCAUCUUAUCUAAGAAGUUCUAAUUAGUCUACUGUCUUCUUAAAUGUCUCAUAUGAUAAAAUUUGUUGGUUAUAUAGCAGCAAUUAAGCCAUUAGUUUCUUUGAUUUAGACAUGUGAAUCCAGUCACUCGACUCGGCAUAAAUCAACACAUUGGACUGGACAAUGCCUUACAUUUGGCAUUUAAAAAUGAAGGAAGCAUGUUUUCUUUUCUUCUUUUUUCAUUCUUUGUUGUUUUCUAAUAUGACUUUAUGUUGAAAACCAAUGACCUUUUGCGAAAGAGGUAUCCUAGAACAUCGAAGGAAUGUUAUGAAUUUGUUAUCUUUUCUGCAGUUGUUCACUUUUUCAGUUUUAUCUGACUACUGCAAGUUUUGGCCUUUUCUUUUUGCUGUUGAAGUCGAAAAUUAAAAUGUAAAUAAAACUGGUGUAACUAAACACGCAGCCAUGUCUGAAACCAAAGUCAGUACUGAUGCUUUGAAUGUUGAUAUUUUCGAAUUGCUAUUUGUUGUAGUAUGUCACUUGGUGAAGCAAUAUUAAGUCCAAUUUUUAUUCUUUUGCUUCUCAUUCCAGCAUGUUUCUGUUAGGUCAUUUUGUAUAUAACUGUUUACUGCACUUCUGUUUAAUAACUGUUUAUGAAGAAAGGAGGUUAGGGAUAUGUAGGAGUUGGUGCUUCGCUCGUAAUCUAGAGUAGUCAUUACAGGAAUAAUUGUCAUUGAGGGCCAUAGGCUUUGCCACCUCUUAUUUAAACCAUGUGGCAAUUUGUUUGCUCAGAGUAAACCCUUAUUUACUUAUAUAUUCAAUUUAAUGUUCUGAUGGUGAAAUUCUAUUUAGAUCUUAUAUGUAUUAUCUACUCCAUAUGCAUUGAUUCUGGUGGCACUCUUUAGUAAUUUUUUACUUCAUAGUUUAGAGCUUUCCCUCUGGAAUCUGUGAAUGUUUUGCUAGUGAUUCGCUGGAGUAUGUGAAUGCUUUACUAAUGAUUUUAACGUUUGUCCCUGAUUGCAGUUUAACCUUAUAAGUUUAAUAUGUGAUAGAUCCAAGCAAAGUACGGAAAGUGAAAAUGGAAUACCACUUUCUUCAUGUGAAACUUUGAAGGGGUCAUUGAAAUUUGUUAGAAGUUGGUGACCUCUAUGCGAUACUUUUUAAUUACAGCUGCAGAUUAUAUGCUGAUUUUUCUGUUGUCGGCAGGAAAAAGCUGAGAGGAGAAGGCAGAUGCCCUACCACAUGCACAUAAACCUUGAGCUCCUUGAGGCCACCCACCUGAUAUGCGCGAUGCUGAUCGAGGUCCCAGUUAUGGCCUCCAACGCGUACGACAAGCGCAAGCCCAUGAGCAAGACAUUCCGCCGUCUCCUUGAAAUAAGUGAGCGGCAGACCUUUGUGGGCCCACCCGAGAACGUCCGCGAUCACGUCAUGGCCGCCACCCGCGCCCUUCGCAAGGGCGACUACCAGAAAGCCUUCGACGUAAUCAAUUCCCUGGACAUCUGGAAGCUUCUCAGAAACAAGGAGAGCAUCCUCGAAAUGCUCAAGCUUAAGAUCAAGGAAGAAGCCCUUCGAACCUAUCUCUUUUCUUACUCUUCGAGCUACGACUCCUUGAGCUUAGACCAGCUCGCGGCCAUGUUCGAUUUAUCCGAGGUCCAGGCCCACAGCCUGGCCAGCAAGAUGAUGAUCUCGGAGGAGCUACAUGCGAGCUGGCACCAGCCAACAAAGUGCAUCGUUUUCCACAAUGUGGAGCAUACUAGGCUACAAGGGCUUUUAUUCCAGAUGGCCGAUAAGCUCAACAUACUUGUGGAGAGCAAUGAGAGGGCCUACGAGGCGAGGACCGGCGGAACCCUAGAUGGGUUGCCGGGGAGGCGGAGAGGGGACAAUCAAGAGUCGGGGGGGAUGGGGAGAUGGCAGGACGGCGCCUCGGGUUCACAAGGCAGGCAGUACGGAGGGUACGGGAGCGUGCGGUACCAGGAUGCCUACGGGAGCUCCGGGAGGGCUCCCUACAGUUCGGCGGCGUCGUCCGUGAGGGGUUCGCAGGGUGAGAGCUCGGCGCGCAUGGUGAAUCUCAACAAGGCUGGUAGGGUUUAGGGAGCGGAAAAGAAUUCAAGAAGUAACAAAAGUUAUUCCAAAGUUCCGGUUUUUUUUUUAGUAUUAUUAUUGAAAUUGAGAGCAGCUCUUCUACAGUUUUGAGAUAUUUUGCUUGAUUUUGUUAGCUCUUGGAAUAUAUGUUUUGCCGAGUACUUCGCAGAACUUUAUUGUGUUUUUAUUAUUGUAUGGACUAUUAUUAUAUUAUGGGAUUGUGGGAGGACCUUGUGUUGUUUACUUUACCCUCAUAUUUUUAAACAUAUCUACAUAAUUUAAGAUUUUUACAGGAACAAUUUAUGAAAUUUUUAUUUUACAGAAAUAUUUCUGUAAUUUAUUAUAUUUGUAGGAACGUAUAUGCAAAUAAUCCUUUUAUUUAAAUUGCAUCUGUGAGAUUAGUUAUGUUCAUGAAUUUUUUAGACGAAGCUUCAGCACGAAUCUAAAAGGAGGGUCUUGGGAGAAACAAUAAUAUAUUUAUUUAAUCAUGUGUAGGGAUGGUGCAUUUUAUUCAACCAAAAAAACUAGGGAAUGCAGAUUUUUUUCGUCGUCAAUUUUCCCUGCAAGAGAGUUUCUAGAGUGGCGUCGCCGCAAAGAAAAAAUAAAGUACAAAGGACAUAAAACAUGAUUUUUUAAAUUAUUUUGUGGAAAAAUUUGUAUGCAAUGAGGGAGCAGAAUUUGUAUACAAAAGAAAAAGCUUUUGAUACAAUAAGAAGGUAGAAACGUGCAAAAUUUAUCUAUGCUAUGGACUAUCUUAAUUUGAUUAUCUAAUUUUUUAAAAUUUUAAUUUUAUUAUUUAAUUUUAUAAUUUAUUUAAUUUGAUUCCGUCAACAACACCUUAGCUUCAAAAUUUGAAUGCGUAGUUUAUUUUUGAAGAUUAAAUUAAUAUAAUUCAUGCAAUUCUCACAACUAUAGAUUUUUUUUAGUAAUUAGUUUAAAUUUUAAAAUUUAAGUAAUCGUUCACUUGUUCAAAUCAAAUAAAUUAAAUAAUUAAAUGAUAAAAUACUAUAUAAUUUACAUAAGUACUGUAUAUUUUUAUAAAAUAAAAAUCAGCAAUAUUUCUUAUGAUAUAUUUUUNAGGACAUAAAACAUGAUUUUUUAAAUUAUUUUGUGGAAAAAUUUGUAUGCAAUGAGGGAGCAGAAUUUGUAUACAAAAGAAAAAGCUUUUGAUACAAUAAGAAGGUAGAAACGUGCAAAAUUUAUCUAUGCUAUGGACUAUCUUAAUUUGAUUAUCUAAUUUUUUAAAAUUUUAAUUUUAUUAUUUAAUUUUAUAAUUUAUUUAAUUUGAUUCCGUCAACAACACCUUAGCUUCAAAAUUUGAAUGCGUAGUUUAUUUUUGAAGAUUAAAUUAAUAUAAUUCAUGCAAUUCUCACAACUAUAGAUUUUUUUUAGUAAUUAGUUUAAAUUUUAAAAUUUAGUUCACUUGUUCAAAUCAAAUAAAUUAAAUAAUUAAAUAAUUAAAUAAUAUAUAGUUUACAUAAGUACUGUAUAUUUUUAUAAAAUAAAAAUCAGCAAUAUUUCUUAUGAUAUCUUUUUUCCGCUUGCGUACAAAGAGGGUUUGACUUUUUCACACGCUGAGGGUUUGACUUUCUCACACCACAACUAUCCUCUUACCCCACCCCACUAAAUAACCAAGAAAGAGGAGAAGAGACUAAUCCACUAAUGUGGUUUUUUAUUUUAUUCGUUAUUAUAAUUAUAGUAGUUAUAUUUAACAAAGUCAAUUGGUCAAUUCCACGAGGAAGCAUCUUCCUAAACGUCUCCUAAACCAUUCCAAUUAAUGUUGGGUAAACUGUAAGUAUAGGUCCUAUAUUGUGCCAAUAUCGUGACUUGUAUUAGUACACUUUUUAUUUAAAUACAUUUGUUUCUAAAUCUUUAUAUAUAUAAAUAUACUACAACCGCUAGCGUAAACAGAAAAUUUUUUUUUUGAAUAUUCUUAUAUAAAGUAACAAUUUUGUUCUCUUUUCGCAAAUUAACGAAUUUAGAUCUCAUUUGGAAUUGUAGAGAGAUUGCGUUACGUACGGUGAGAAAAUGCAAUAGAAAAAUAAAUAUGUACUUUCAGAUGUAAUGUCGCAUUCUGCGUUUCGUAAUCAGUCAAUUUUGCAGUCGCCCCGACUCCAUUUUACCUAUUAGCGUUGGAUGGGCCUUAAUAUCAAACAGACUCUUAGUUCUGUUUACUUCUAAUGUGGGUUAAAAAUUAACAAUUUUCUUUACCGAUGAGAGACAAAAGUACAGUAAUAUAUAUAUGUAUAAACUUAAAAACUAAAGUAUUUAAGUGAAAAGUAUAGGAACCAAGUUGCAAUAUCAGGACAGUUUUAGGGACUUUACAUACAUUUAUACUCUAUACUAUAUGUAAGCUUCCCCUGUUGGAGAGUUACUAGCUAGCUACACUUCCUUUUGUAAAUCAACAUGACUCAAGCAAGAGCACAACUAAGCAUUCUAGGCAUUCUAAAGGAAGCCCUCCUAACCAUACUUAGAAAUGCAAAGAUUCUAUCAUCCUUUAUUCUUGUUAUUCUUCUCCCCCUCAAACUUUUGUGUAGGAUUCCUAAUCUCAAUCCACCUAUAGUUUUACAUGUGGCCUCAAUUGCACCCUACCUACUCUCGCGUCUCGCUUUAUCCGAUUCGCCGGUCACCAUAAACAUCUUUCCUACCGCGACGAUCGUCUCGCACAUCACGACGUCGAUCGCCGUCUACCUCUCAACCAUGUGCUACAAUGGAAGCCACCUUGGGCUCAAUGAGUUGUUCUCCAAGUUUAAGAGGACAUGGAGGGGCCUUUUGGCAACAAUAGUUGUUUGUGAGCUCUUCACCUGGGUGUACGUCAUCCUCUUCUCGGGUUUUUGUCUUAUCUUUGUGAUGUUAAAUAUAACCAACUUGUGGAUUUUGUUGAUUGUUUUGGUUUUAUUGUUUCUUUUUCUUCUAGGUUUUGUCAUGUCUGUGUAUGUUUCAAUGGUAGGAAAGUUGUGUCUUGUGGUGUCAAUAGUAGAGGAGAAGUGCUAUGGUUGGGGUGCAAUGAGAAGGGCUACUGGGCUUCUUGUAACAAGAAAGUUACAAGGCAUUGUCCUCAUGGCCCUCAUGAUGGGCGUCGGUGAGAUAAUCGCGACGGCGUUUGCUCGCUUGAAGGGCGAUGGUGAUCGACAGCAGCAGGUGUCGGCAUCGAUCGUGGUCGGGGAUGUUCUGAAAAUCGUCGUCGACGAGGUGUUUACUAUGCUUUGUAGCCUUGUGUUAACAGUGUUCUACUACGAGUGCAAGAGGAGCAAAGGAGGGGGGAAAAGUGGAGAAGGGUUCCAAGAGUUGUUGCCCUUCACUUCCCAUGUUGAUGAUGCUAUUGCAUGAUUUGGUUUUCGCAAUUUGAUAAUAAUGGUGUUGGUGUGUUGAAUAAGCUAGAAUGUAUAUUACACUACGAAAAUUUCGCAAUGAAAAAAAUGUCAGAAUCCAUUUCAGACGAUAAUAUCUUGAAAAGCUAAUUUGAUUCUGUAAAUGUACUGUAAAAGAAGAGGUAUCAGAAGAAAACCACUUAUUCACAACAUUUGAUUUCUUUUUUUUCCCCUCCCCUUUUUCCUGAAUAAAUCUAUAGGCUUAUAUAAACAUAAGUUUCUUAAAUGUAUGUUCACACAUGAUUUGAAUAUAAGACUUAUGGCUCACGAAUAUGCAUACCAAUGUAAUAAAUGGGAAGCAUACUAAUGUGAGAAAAAAAUAUCCCAUUGGUUAACUUUUCUCUCUCUGUAUGUAUAUUAUAAAACCUCCAGCGAGUCAAUUUGACAAAGGAGGUACUAAUUUGAAAUACGAGUCCAAAUAAAUGGCUGGACUAGUUGAUUGACGAGGACAUGAAUAAAGUUGAACGAAUUGGAAUCAAAUUUUUAUAACAUUUUAUGAGAAAUUAAGUUGUCACAGAGGGUUUCAUUUUACCAUUUUAAAUGCUUCUUAUCUUCUACUUCUGCCUGCAGCAACAGAAAAAGUGAUGGUGUGAUUCUCCUGUUAGCGAGAAUCAGAAAUAAAAAUUUGAAGUUCAAAAACAAGAGCAUUAAUUUGGUGCUUCUACUUUCUGCUGCAGCCCAACAUUUGUUAAGAAAACUUUCAUAUAGCACACCUCCUAAAAGCACAAGUAGCAGUUCAUCCAAGUGCACCAUACAAAAUAUGCCCUAGCAAAUGAAAAUAUGCAGAUGUAGUAUCAAGAAAAGUGUAUUCUACGCAGAUGCAAAUCCCAUACGCCACCGAAAAAGAUCGAAACCAAUAUCUGGGCAACCUUCUGAUCCAUCUUAAUAGUUGAAAUGCUAUAUCGCACAAUGUAUCACCAAAACUCCAAGAAAUAGGAACCAAAAUAAUAAGAAUACUAAUUUAAGGCAAUAGUAUGCUACAAUGCAUCGAACUAAACUGCUUGAUAAAGUAGAAGAGAGUUUUUGAACAUAGCGCAGGACAAAUCCGACAUUCUAAUGGAAGGCCUAAAUUAUAAGAAAUAACUGUAGGAUGUCUUGUAUUAUAAAGCUGCUUCUUUAACCGGAGAAGAUGAAAUAUGAAAGAGUAACAUCGACCCACAAACCAAAUAGUCAUCUCAAACACAAAAAAGAACAUCUCAUAACAAGAUAAAUAGCGCCAGUAGGAAAACCAAACUCCUCAAAAUACUAUGUUUAACUGUCCAAAGAAGACUUGCUUCGAUCUCGACUUCAGUUAGGCCGCGGAGUAGCCCACUCGACUCGAAGGAUAAGAUUAUCAUAACCGUACCCAUUGAGCUUAUUAAUCGCCCUCUCGGCGUCCUCCUUGUGAACGAAAUUGACAAAGCCAAACCCCCUACUGACCCCCGUCUUCUGGUCGACCGCAACAUAGACACGGCUGACUGGACCAAACGUACGGAAGAGUUCAAGCAGGUCGGGUUCGCGGGUAUCCUCCGAAAGGUUGGUGACUCGGACGGAGUUCUCGUCGUUCCGGCGCCUCAUCUCGGUUCCAGUUCUAUCUCCUCCGCCACCUCGCAUGCCAGGUGGCACGUAGGUACUUUUGCCGGUUCCUGGGGCUGAAGGUCCCAACUCCGGUGGAGGCAGGUUGUCGGUUUGCGGGGCGAGAUCCUUGUAGGGGCACUUUGAAGUCCAGUGGUCGCCCUUUCUGCCGCAGGUUCUGCAUACCAUGAGAACGGCACCAGCUUUCCCAGCUGCAGCUAGGGCAUCACCUGUCAUGCUUGUUUCUUCUUGUUUGCUGCCUGCAGUCAGUUUUAGGAGAAUUAAGGCCAUUUAACUACUGGAUCAUAUACAGAAAUAAGCAAAAUAAAUGAAGCAAAAGGAAUAGCCAAGAAAAUACUAAGAUAAGUGAUGAACUUAAAGAUAAUAGCUGAGAAAACCCUAAGAUAAGAAAUGAAGUAUUUAGGGUCCAAACGCAAACUCUACAGGAGUGAAUACAUCGAUGGCUGGCAGGUGGUUUGCAACAAAUACACCUUGGGUUUUUCUAGGCAAUAAAAAAACAGAAACUAAAUAACCACUCUUUGGGCACCUGUUAAUUUAGACAAGACACCAUUCCACACCUAGACAAGUUCCAUCACAAGCUAACGAACAAUAAGAAAAACAGACAUGCAUCCACGGCAGCAUGCAAUCUGUCAGCCGAGGUAAUCUUGAGUCAUACUAGUUUCAUACCUUAACAGUUUUUUUCAUACCUGCUUUACUCAUUAACACGUAUUCCAUACAUCAGAGGCAUCUUUUUCAUAUAUUACAAUAAUAAUUUUGUGACAAUUUGUUAAAGAUAAUUCCCAUAAUUUACUUUCCUAAAGUAUGUAACCAAUGCAAAGAUGCCACUUAACAAAAGAUGUUGAGGAUAAUAACAUGCCAGAGUUACAGGAAAUGAGGUGCUGAUUAAAAGAGUUUAUGGUAUAAGUUAUUAUAUAUUCAUAAUGUAAUCAACAUUCAUUCAUUAGCAAUUCAACAUACAGAAAAAGUAUGAUAAACUAAACACUCAUGCAUAAGAGUCUAAACUUUAGCUCAAAGGACAAGAACACUAAUCAUGCAUCAAUUUCAUGCCUUUGAAUUAUGUGAUUUAAAAGGAAUACUUUUAAAUUUGAAGUUCUGCACGAAAUUGACAUGAAUACAUAUAUGUGCACAAUAUUAUACCAUGGAUAUUUCUAAGUGUUCCGCCUACUUUUCGGCAACUAUUGCCAUUUGAACAAAAAGCUACUACAAAAUUAUUACAUUUCUAGAUAUUUAGAUUCAUGAUACUACUGUCUACAUAUUUGCCAUGUGAUGCUAAAAUACUCAAAAGUUUAGAUUCUCAAGGCAAAUGAUACUAAUUUUGACAGUAUAUUUACAUAAUAGGGCAAGACAUGUAUAUUGUGGUAAAAAAAAAUCAAAGAGUCAUAUUAACAGGAAGUAUCAUUAAAAGUUUGGUUCGAACUUUCGAAUUACAAGUGCAAUUCCAUUUCCACAAUUGACCUUACACCAACAGGAACCUAAUGAUGGUUCUCCCUUACAACUGCCUACACCUUCCUGACAUUCACCUAAUGCAUUCAUAACCAUUAUUAUGAUUACCUUUCUUCCACUCCCAAAAACCCCUUAAUUCCUCCAAUUUUCCCUGCUUCCUCAGAAAUAAUUGCCAUCCAACCUUGCAAGUUGCAACAAUGCACUUCACUUCCAUAGAAACACAAUCUCCAACAUCUAUUCUCUUUUGGGAUAUCGGGAAUUUGGGAUUCCAUGCAUAGAUGGAAAGAUGGAAAGAUGGAGCAACAACCACACCAAUGCGUGGUUUAUGCAAGUGGGGAAAGAACAUACGCUCAAAGGUAAACAAAAUAAUCAUCACAAUAUGAGUGCCUAGCCUAUAUGUUUAUACCAAUGAAAUUCUCCUCUAAUUCAUCUACCUCAUUUCACACAGUUGAUCUUGUCCAUCCUUUGCCACAAUAAGAAAAGCCUUCAAGAUAGAAAGCUCCAGAGCACAAUACAAGGCGGAGGUGCAUGUAAGAAAGCACAAUAAUUGACAAUGUUAGUCAACCAUAUAAUGUCAGAAGGAAUACAUGACUGAUAGGCAAUGAAGAUGUGGAAGAGUAGAGGAAGGACAAGUGAGACAGAGCCAGCCAUGGCCUGUCAGCUGUCCUAAUGUUUGCGAAAGGAACAUACAAGGAGACAGGGAUUAUCAAGAAAUGCAUCAAAUUUGAGUUUUCGCAUAGGCUAGGGGCCUCCCCCGCCCCCCCCCCCCCCCCCCCCCCUCUCUCUCUCUCUCUCUCUCUCUCUCUCUCCAAUUGAUUGUUGCCGGUUUACUUAACUAUUUAUAUUCUAUCUCAAAUUUCAACUUAUAUUCUUCUCAAUUUCAUAUUACUCGUAAGAUUUUCUGCAAAUAUUAGUGUCCUUCAUUCUCCCUCCAUCACAGCAGUGCAACUACUGGAACAAAUGUAUUCUUUUGCCUUAAGUUCCUACAACAUCAGGUCUUUCUCAGAUUCGUGCUCAAUUCCCCUUUAGCUUCCACUACAUCAUUUUCCUCGAUGCCACAAUAAUGAUAUUCUUCUACCAUUGUGAUCGCAUAUUUACAUCCAUAAAUACAAUAAUACAUAAAAAACACUCUUGACAAGGAACGCUCCUAAAUACUAUUUGCAAGCACAUAACUCACAAAUAAACCUACAGAUCAUCAUCUCUAUGCCUGCUGACAACAGAACAUAUACUCAUAAUAAGAUCUACAGGCCUAGAACGUACCGAACACAAAAAAUACCUCCCAUUUUCAGCAUCUGCAUAUCAUCUAUAGUAUAAUUGACGCCAAAGCAGAACCAAAAACAUGAUCUUUUUGCAAAAGAAAGCAAUUUCUCAACCUUAAACAUA
rnacentral:lncRNA from 1 species